AGUGAACGCUGGCGGUAGGCCUAACACAUGCAAGUCGAACGGCAGCACAGUAAGAGCUUGCUCUUACGGGUGGCGAGUGGCGGACGGGUGAGGAAUACAUCGGAAUCUACUUUUUCGUGGGGGAUAACGUAGGGAAACUUACGCUAAUACCGCAUACGACCUACGGGUGAAAGCAGGGAAUCUUCGGACCUUGCGCGAUUGAAUGAGCCGAUGUCGGAUUAGCUAGUUGGCGGGGUAAAGGCCCACCAAGGCGACGAUCCGUAGCUGGUCUGAGAGGAUGAUCAGCCACACUGGAACUGAGACACGGUCCAGACUCCUACGGGAGGCAGCAGUGGGGAAUAUUGGACAAUGGGCGCAAGCCUGAUCCAGCCAUACCGCGUGGGUGAAGAAGGCCUUCGGGUUUUAAAGCCCUUUUGUUGGGAAAGAAAAGCAGCAGGUUAAUACCCCGCUGUUCUGACGGUACCCUAAGAAUAAGCACCGGCUAACUUCGUG
rnacentral:rRNA from 1 species